AUUGAACGCUGGCGGCAUGCCUUACACAUGCAAGUCGAACGGCAGCACGGGAGCAAUCCUGGUGGCGAGUGGCGAACGGGUGAGUAAUAUAUCGGAACGUGCCCAGUCGUGGGGAUAACGUAGCGAAAGCUACGCUAAUACCGCAUACGAUCUAUGGAUGAAAGCGGGGGAUCGCAAGACCUCGCGCGAUUGGAGCGGCUGAUAUCAGAUUAGGUAGUUGGUGAGGUAAAGGCUCACCAAGCCGACGAUCUGUAGCUGGUCUGAGAGGACGACCAGCCACACUGGGACUGAGACACGGCCCAGACUCCUACGGGAGGCAGCAGUGGGGAAUUUUGGACAAUGGGCGCAAGCCUGAUCCAGCAAUGCCGCGUGCAGGAUGAAGGCCUUC
rnacentral:rRNA from 1 species